GGAAAUGCAUGUACUGCGGGUGUUCAGGAAAGCGUUGUUGGGCUCUUCCGUUGAACCCAGGGAAUUCCCUGGAUGGUGGGCGGAGCCGGAAUGGUGGGUGGGCGGACCUGACUUCCCAUCUGCUCGGGGGCAGGUGGGGACAGGUCACGAUGCAUUGGGUUUGGCCUGUCCUCCAGCUAAUCUGGGAGGACUUUCCCGCCCUUCACUGAUUGGGUCCUCUCACCGGCCCCCUGAGAGGGGAAGCGUCUGGGGAGCCCUUGCUGGCUGCUCGGCCCCAGUCUCCGAGGUUUCUGAAACAAAACUGCAUUCGGUGUCAAACCCCUUUGCCCACCCUGGAACGAAAGUUAAGUAUGAAUUUUUUUUUUCUUCUCAAGUUUUUCACGUAGAAGAGAUACCGGGUAAAUUAGAAACAUGUUUGGGAAAAGAGUGAGCAGUAAACGCUGGCAUUUAAACAACACAAAAAUGCCCACGCCAGGCCACACGCCCUGGCGGCCGCGACGCACCCGGCGGCUGCGCAGCGCCCUCUGGCGGCGGCGCGCGGGCGCGGCCGUUCCCUACUCCCACGCUCGGAACCGGGGACAGAGCUGCUGCCCCAAAUCUGAGAAACAUUGGGGCAACUUUGGAGGAAGGGGAGGGGGUCAUGGAAAGCGUCCGACGCUGAGGCCCCCUUUUUGUGGUUCCGUGGCUGGCACUGAGGCCAAGAGCCCAGGGAAGGGGCCCACGUAAAAGAAAAACCUUUGUUGCUCUUUGAAUGACCGCCUGAAAUUCUACCAAUGCAGCAUCUCCCUUAACCUGCAGGCUUUGAUUCUUUUUAAAAUUCAGGUUCCUCGAGGAGGAGGGGUGACCCUUCAAAACAAGGGCAGAUGACAGGCUCUGUCAAAAAAUUACCAACGUGAACACCAAAAAGACAUGAUUGUACCAUAAUAUGUACAUUUUAGAUGGUGAGGACAUUUACCUAGUAUCUCUAACCCUUGGCAUUCGACUUGGCAAGGUAGGUGCUCAAUAUCUAUCUGAUGAGAGAAAGAAAGAAUGAAUGAGGAUGUAGGAGAGGAAAGACUGUCUCUCUAUCCCCCUAGAUUCAACAGCUGGGUCUGUGAAAUAAAUCGGCAAUGGACAAUGAACAGGAGAAAAGUUAUACAUAUUUAUUAAUUUUGACCAUUACACGGACAAGGGCAUCACAGAGGGGGGAAAAAAAGCGAACACCUGAAAAAGAGAGGACACUUGAAAGCUUAUAUACCAUCUUCAUAGGGAAGAGGAGGGAGAUGCAGGUCACUUCGGGGAGAGCAAAUGAUUUGGGGAAAGAAGAGUGGGCCCUCAGAAGGACAGAUGGGAGGUUAUGAGGGUGUGACAGCGUCUGUCUAGGGGUGCUGUGGCCUUGUAGCCUGCUCUCCUGGGAGAGGAGUCAGUCUUCCCUGGUGGAUGAAGCCCCCAGGUUGGGGAUUUAGGACGAUGGAAUUCCUUUCGGAGGCUCUGUCUUUAGGCAGAUUAGGGCAGUUCAGGGAGAACCUCUCCCCACAUCUGCUGUUUUUCAAGUGCCUUCAGCUCAAAAGGAUCAAUACACCCAAGCAGCAUAUUUGGGCCGAUAUGUCCUGAACUCCUGCAAGGACUUCAUUCUGAUAGGUUUUUUCCCCCUUGGAUGAAACCAACUUCUUCUGGAUGACUUCCAAACCAAGUCGCCCUGUAACUGAACUAACAUGAGUUCGCUCCUUGGUGAGUCACAGACAGAAAUUACACCAGGUGGAGUUGUCGCACAAAGGAGACUCUAUUUGCAGCAAAUAAGGAGAUCACAGGGAAUAAUUUCCAGAGCCUUGACUCCCCGAGCAAGAGUGAAUGGGUUCCUUUUAUUGAAGUUCGGGAUGAAUAUUCAGAAAGAGGAGCCUUGUCAUUUUCCGUAGAGGGGGACACAAGAUGGUGCCGUGAACCUUCAGGAAACAGGCCUGUACCUGUCCUGUGGGUUAUGUAAAUGAGGCUUGUGCUCCUCCUUGGGUGAAGAUUUUAGUAUUAUAAUGAGGUUAAGGUAACCAUCAGUCAUUCUAUGGUUCCCUCCAAGGUCCUUCUGCACAGCUGUGUGUGGGGAGUUAAGUUCAGCCUGGUCUGGGUGGUCUGGGCCAGCUGGGAUUCUCUGUCUGGGCAGCUAUUGAUGCUUGAAGGGUAGUUUUUGUUUCCAUGCCAUCAUGGGAUGCCAGGCCUCUUGGGUUUUUUGCCUGAGCAAUGAGAUAAAGAUGGAAAGAAGAGCUUAAGGAAAAAUGUGGGACAAAGGUCAGUGGAUACAAGCAGGUGAGCAGUAAAGGUCAGGUGUUAGGGUCCAGCUGGUGACGACCCAUUAGUGCAGAAGGGAAGAUGUUUCUAAGAGUUUGGAGGGAGUAGGGCAGUGCUCCUCAACCUGACCGCUAGUUAUAGUCCCUGGGGAGGCACAGGCCCACCCCCCAGAAAUUCAGCUGUAACGGGCCCAGGAGCAGCCAGGGAGUCCAGAAUUGGGAGAAAGCCAUGCUUUGUGUGCAUUCGUCAUUUUUGCCAUGUCUCUCCCAGAAUCCGAGUCUUCAAAGCUGACAGUGAAGCAUUCCAGAUUUUGUGGAUGGUUCCCAUAGAGUACAGACGACAGCAGAAAAUGAAUAAUGCUGGGCAGGGAUUACUAAGGACACCACAAAACAAGCUGCAUAACUGUUGCUGAACUCCUCUGAAAGCGAGAUGUGUGUCCAUCUGGAAACACAUUGAUUGACCCACACCCGCAUGAGAAGUGUGGAGAACAGCUACCUCCAGGCUUCCCCGCGGCCCUUCCCAUCCCUCCUCCUGGUCCUCCCUUCCCGCCCUCCAGAGUGAGAAAGCAUCCUUUGCCUGUGCUCAGCAAACCUAGAGUGUGGACAAGGGACUCGUGCAGUUGAGGAAGUAAGGGACGAAUCACAGACACUACCCUCAAGGAGCUUCUGAUUUCGUAGGGACGUACGGACAGGGAUGUAGCGUCUCCGCCCCCGCCCCCGCCCCCACCUCCACCCCCGCGCUAUGGCUGUGAACAGGACUCCAGGUGGUCUGCUAUCAAAUCUCAGAACUCCUCAAAGCUAUAAAACAGGCAAACACUCAAAGAAGGAUCUGUGACCUACACUCGAUGUCCAGCCUCUGGCCACAUCUGGUCCAUGAAGCAUCUUGCUGUAGGCUGGCUGGAGCCCUGGUGAAAGGUGGCUUUUCUUCCAUCCAGGCAGCUAUGACGAAAGGUACAGCCAGGAAGUUGCCAUGCCGACGGGGAAUUCAGUUCUUAAAAUAGUCCACUGUGCUGAGGCAUUUUCGGGGUGGGUGGGUUUGGAGGGAGGGGGUUCGGGAGAGGGGUGGGGAGAGAUGAUAAACUAAUGAGUCAGACCCAAUUGGUGACAGCUGUUCUGUCAUCCCUCUGGCAAUGUGAGGUGGGAAAGGGACAGCUCUCUAAAAUGAGGUGGCAAAGAGACAUUUUCCAUUCAAAGAGCAGGAGAGCUCUGUUUCCUCACACUAUUUUCCUGACAGAAGGAAAUUCCCCUCUUUGUGGGUCCACCCUGCGGAGAAUAGAUGAAGGCACGCCUCACUCACACAACGCCUGCAGGACUGGGGGACCUGUAGGAGUGGGAGGGGCAGGCUCUCUCACACGGCUGCCUCAUGGCUCUGUCCACAGCAGGCCCAAGUCUCCUCAUCGUCACAGGUAGCAUCAUCAUGGGACAGUAGGGAACAAAAUUCACCACCCCAAAAUGUGUCUCUUUGGUACGUAGAUUAUUGUAGGCUGAUUAUUUUUAAGAAACAGAAGGCUCAGGAAGAACCUUCAACCUUCCCCUCAUGGCUUACAACAAGUUAGAUAGACAACUUCCUCCAGCAAGGGAGCUAUCACCGUAGGUAACCACAGCAUAAUAUGGACUACGGGUGGCUGAAUUGUCUUUCUUCCCUUUAUAGUCCCAGAUCCCUCCCCACUUCUCCUUAACUCUGGGUGUCCUAUAAUCCUCAAUUGCCUGACUUCUUGUGGGCCUCAUUUUCCUAUGGAGACCCUUAGUAUGUACUUAAAUUUGAUUUUCUUCUGCUAAUCUAUCUCAUGUCAAUUUAAUUCAUAGCCCAGCUGCCCCCCCCCAAAAAAAUCCCUUGAAAGAUAGAGAAAAUUUUUUCUUCCGCAACAGGACCAAAAUGAAAAUAUAUCACUAAAAAUGUCUUCUAUCCAGGCAAUUAACCAUCGAUCAACCAUCAAUUGAUUAACCAAUCAAUCAACUAUCAUUAUUUGAGCAUUUCCUGUCACUUCUCUGUUGUGCCCUCAAUGCCUGGAAGAUGAGCUGAGUACUUAUUUUUUAUUGCGGUAAAAUAUAUAUAACAUAAAACUUACUAUUUUGACCAUUUUUUAACUGUACAAUCCAGUGGCAUGAAGUACAUUCACACUGUUGUACAACUAGCCCCACUAUCCAUCUUUGGAACCUCUUUAUCAUCCCAUAUACUGAAAGUCUACACAUAAGUCUCCAUUCUGUACCCACCCCCAGGCCCUGUCAACCACUAUUCUAUGUUCCAUCUAUACAAACCGCCUAUUCUAGGAGUCUUGUAUAAAUGGAAUCAUAUGGUAUUUGUUCUUUUGUAUCUGGCUUAUUUCACUUAGAAUAUCUUUAAGGCUCAUCCCUGUGGAUAUGCAUCAGAAUGUCAUUCUCUUUCAAGGUCAAAUAAUAUUCCAUUGUGUGUAUAGACCAUGCUUUGUUUAGCCCAUGAAUGGACAUUUGGGUUGUUGUCACCUUUUGGCUAUUAUGAAUAAUGCUACUAUGAACAUGGACGUACAAAUAGUUGUUGAGUCCCUACUUUCAGUUCCUUUGGUGGCAAAGUCCAUUUUCAGAAAGAGAACAAGGAGAAGAUUGAGAAUGCAAUCUCGGGGCACAGAAGACACUACAGCAGCGUUUUCUUACCUUUUCCAUUCCACCAUCCAAAGUCCAUCUUUGAGAAAGCCAGCAAGCCCUUGUCUCCUGUCUUCCUCCCUCAGCCAUCUGCUCGUACUGCCUAUUGUCAUGAGGUCAUUCCCAGGGGCACCUCUAGUCCCAGAUCCAUCAUCAAGGACAAUGGGCAGCCUUAAGGUUGAUGGUUAGUUCUCAUAUCUUUCAGAGUUGAGCAUUAUUAAAAUAAAACCAAUGGUAUCUUUU